rnacentral:tRNA from 1 species
GGAGAAUGGGGAACACCCGACAGCAGCAAGCCCAUAACCCUCGCCGAAAAAGACUUUUGCUAAUGACAUCAACCGCCUUCUAAGCGGUCGGUCGCUGGUUCGAUCCCAGCAUGGCCCG